GCCAGGCUGAAGCUUUGUCCUAUGAAGAAGCAGAAAAGGUCAGAGGAGGAGAAAGAAAGAGCCCUUCCCGGUCAAGGAGCCAGCCAGGGAGGGAGACAAAAGGAAGGAGGCUCCAUGGAGAUGCAAUGUGAUUAGCCGGCCUUCUGCUCUGACCACCGUGACUUCCCUGCCUGAAACCAUGUCUUCCCCUCCAUGAUACAAGUUACAAGAUGAAAUAAAUCCUUCCUUCCCUAAAAUGGGUAUUUUUGUCUCAUCAACAAGAAAGUUAACUUAUGUAAAGCUGGCUCUAGGGAAGUCAUUAGGAUUUGAUGAGGUCAUGAGACUAAGGUCCUGGUGCUGGUAGUAGUGGCUUUUGUAGAAGGAAAGGAGGAGGAGAAGGAGAAGGAAGAAGAGGAGGAGGAGGAGGAAAAGGAAGAGGAGGAGGAUCCAUGCUGUCUCACCACAUUGCCCCCUGGUUAUACUACGAUGUUUCAGAUGAGUCUUCAUCAGAUGCCAGGCAGAGCUGGCACCAUGCUUGGGCUUUCAGCCUCCAGAAAAAUAGCAAAAGAAAUUUCUAUUCUGUUCUCUUUUCCAGAAAAACAAGCAACAACAAUAAAACCCCACAUUUGUUCUAAAGCAAUGACAGAUAAAGAGAAACCUCUUCUUUUCAUAAUGACAACAGAUAAACACAGAAAGAAUAUGGAGUUCUUUUAAAAAAUAAAAUCACAAAUUUUCCAACAUUCUAAUAAAAGUUAUUAAGAUACAGGAUCAUCAAAAGAUACUAAAUCUAGGAAGGGCAGGUGUGAGGAGCCACAGAAUUGUCAAGACAAUAUCAGCAUUUCUUAUAAAACAGUAACUGGGAGAAAUAGUAACUAGACAAUGCAGAAAGUAGACAACCUCUUUUCUGUGUGUUGGAAAUUAACACCAAUAACAAGGACUAUUCUGCUCAUCUGAGCUUGGUAACCAGGGUUGCAUCACUUAAUAGUAUUCUCACCCACACCACACAAUCCAAAUCUACCCACGAGGAAACAUCAGGAAACUCCAGUGAAGCUGAUCGUCUUCAAAGACAUCAAUACAACAAAAGACUGGAAAGGGCAGAGGAAUGGUUCCAGAUCAGCAUCAUGACAGCACAAUCUACAAUCCCAGACUGGAUCCCGCCUCUGAGAAAUUACCAGCAGAGCAAAUGAAAUCGGAAUAGAGACUGCAGAUCAGAUGAAAGUCCCGUCUGAAUGGGAGACUGCAGGAUUUAUAUGCUUCAGUGAGACUGUGUGCUUGCUCUUGUGAAGUGCGUGUAUAGUAUUAAAGCAUGGAGGGCUGGGUAUCUGUACUAUCUCUCAAAUGAGUUAUAUAGAAAGGUUAUAUAUCAAGGAAUAGAAAGUUAUAAAGCAAACACAGGAAUCAUCAUCAAAAAAAGAAGAUAACAUGUGUAGCAAUGAAUGUUUUCUUUUCUUUAAUUUUCUCCCAAACAAGCAUAUCCACACUGACAUGUAAGUGUGUAUUUCUGGAGUACAAAAACUUUCAGUACUACCCAAAUCCUCCAUGUAAGGCAAGCAGUGAAAAUAUUCCUUAGGGGUUGGUUGUCAACAUGUGUAUAAAGGACUAUGUCUUUCCCAGGAAGCAUAGUACUACAGCUUCCAGAUUUUUUUUAUAUGUAUGCACAAACUUCUGCACUCAUGUGUAAUUGUUUCUUUUUGAUGGUGAUAGUCUCUAAGUUUUUGUCAUUUCCAUGUUUGCUUUGCUAAAGCUUGUGCUUGGCUUCAAUGCGGAGAUCAUAUUUUCUCUUCAUACCUUCUCUCUGGAGCAGUGUCUGAAAUGUGUGUUCUCAGCUAGCAGACUCAGUUUGUGAGUCAUAGCAUUAACAUAAUGUGAUGGUUGUUUCCUGUUCUGCAGUGCAGUACCAAUGAAGACCUGCAUAGGAGGGCCUGAGUCUGCUCAUUGGACCAACUUGUGAGAGGAAAGUAUUCAGGUAUGUCUGUAAAAUGAGAGGCAUACAGGUUUAAGUCCUAGGUUGACCUAAAGUUAAUCAACCCAACUUUUAAUGGGUCUGUGAUACUCUGAUUGGGUUCAAUUGUAAAUUCCUCAUUAAACUUCUAUUCCUUAUAAGUCA
rnacentral:lncRNA from 1 species